rnacentral:rRNA from 1 species
CCUACGGAAGGCAGCAGUGGGGGAUAUUGCACAAUGGGCGAAAGCCUGAUGCAGCAACGCCGCGUGAGGGAAGACGGUUUUCGGAUUGUAAACCUCUGUCUUCGGUGAAGAAACAAAUGACGGUAGCCGAGGAGGAAGCCACGGCUACCUACGUGCCAGCAGCCGCGGUAAUACGUAGGUGGCAAGCGUUGUCCGGAAUUACUGGGUGUAAAGGGAGCGCAGGCGGGGCGACAAGUCAGCUGUGAAAACUAUGGGCUUAACCCAUAAACUGCAGUUGAAACUG